rnacentral:rRNA from 1 species
GGGUUGUGAGGUUAAGCGACUAAGCGUACACGGUGGAUGCCCCGGCAGUCAGAGGCGAUGAAGGGCGUGCUAAUCUGCGAUAAGCGCCGGUAAGGUGAUAUGAACCGUUAUAACCGGCGAUACCCGAAUGGGGAAACCCAGUGUGAUUCGUCACACUAUCAUUAACUGAAUCCAUAGGUUAAUGAGGCGAACCGGGGAACUGAAACAUCUAAGUACCCCGAGGAAAAGAAAUCAACCGAGAUUCCCCAGUAGCGGCGAGCGAACGGGGAGGAGCCCAGAGCCUGAAUCAGCAUGUGUGUUAGUGGAAGCGUCUGGAAAGGCGCGCGAUACAGGGUGACAGCCCCGUACACAAAAGCGCAUGUGCUGUGAGCUCGAUGAGUAGGGCGGGACACGUGGUAUCCUGUCUGAAUAUGGGGGACCAUCCUCCAAGGCUAAAUACUCCUGACUGACCGAUAGUGAACCAGUACCGUGAGGGAAAGGCGAAAAGAACCCCGGCGAGGGGAGUGAAAAAGAACCUGAAACCGUGUACGUACAAGCAGUGGGAGCACAGGUUUACCUGUGUGACUGCGUACCUUUUGUAUAAUGGGUCAGCGACUUAUAUUCUGUAGCAAGGUUAACCGUAUAGGGGAGCCGGAGGGAAACCGAGUCUUAAUUGGGCGUUAAGUUGCAGGGUAUAGACCCGAAACCCGGUGAUCUAGCCAUGGGCAGGUUGAAGGUUGGGUAACACUAACUGGAGGACCGAACCGACUAAUGUUGAAAAAUUAGCGGAUGACCUGUGGCUGGGGGUGAAAGGCCAAUCAAACCGGGAGAUAGCUGGUUCUCCCCGAAAGCUAUUUAGGUAGCGCCUCGUGAAUUCAUCUCCGGGGGUAGAGCACUGUUUCGGCUAGGGGCCAUCCCGGCUUACCAACCCGAUGCAAACUGCGAAUACCGGAGAAUGUUAUCACGGGAGACACACGGCGGGUGCUAACGUCCGUCGUGAAGAGGGAAACAACCCAGACCGCCAGCUAAGGUCCCAAAGUCAUGGUUAAGUGGGAAACGAUGUGGGAAGGCCCAGACAGCCGGGAUGUUGGCUUAGAAGCAGCCAUCAUUUAAAGAAAGCGUAAUAGCUCACUGGUCGAGUCGGCCUGCGCGGAAGAUGUAACGGGGCUAAACCAUGCACCGAAGCUGCGGCAGCGAACGUAUCACCCAAGACAACUUUACGGAGUUGACGAUUGACGGAGCGAAGCGACGUCAAAGCGUUCAUUAAAGUCGAGUUGGCUUAGGGAUACGUUCGUUGGGUAGGGGAGCGUUCUGUAAGCCUGUGAAGGUGUGUCGUGAGGCAUGCUGGAGGUAUCAGAAGUGCGAAUGCUGACAUAAGUAACGAUAAAGCGGGUGAAAAGCCCGCUCGCCGGAAGACCAAGGGUUCCUGUCCAACGUUAAUCGGGGCAGGGUGAGUCGACCCCUAAGGCGAGGCCGAAAGGCGUAGUCGAUGGGAAACGGGUUAAUAUUCCCGUACUUGGUGUUACUGCGAAGGGGGGACGGAGAAGGCUAUGUUGGCCGGGCGACGGUUGUCCCGGUUUAAGCGUGUAGGUGUGUGUUCCGGUAAAUCCGGUUCACUUUAACACUGAGGCGUGACGACGAGGCACUACGGUGCUGAAGCAACAAAUGCCCUGCUUCCGGGAAAAGCCUCUAAGCAUCAGGUAACACGAAAUCGUACCCCAAACCGACACAGGUGGUCAGGUAGAGAAUACCAAGGCGCUUGAGAGAACUCGGGUGAAGGAACUAGGCAAAAUGGUGCCGUAACUUCGGGAGAAGGCACGCUGACACGUAGGUGAAGUGAUUUACUCAUGGAGCUGAAGUCAGUCGAAGAUACCAGCUGGCUGCAACUGUUUAUUAAAAACACAGCACUGUGCAAACACGAAAGUGGACGUAUACGGUGUGACGCCUGCCCGGUGCCGGAAGGUUAAUUGAUGGGGUCAGCGUAAGCGAAGCUCCUGAUCGAAGCCCCGGUAAACGGCGGCCGUAACUAUAACGGUCCUAAGGUAGCGAAAUUCCUUGUCGGGUAAGUUCCGACCUGCACGAAUGGCGUAAUGAUGGCCGGGCUGUCUCCACCCGAGACUCAGUGAAAUUGAACUCGCUGUGAAGAUGCAGUGUACCCGCGGCAAGACGGAAAGACCCCGUGAACCUUUACUAUAGCUUGACACUGAACAUUGAGCCUUGAUGUGUAGGAUAGGUGGGAGGCUUUGAAGUGUGGACGCCAGUCUGCAUGGAGCCGACCUUGAAAUACCACCCUUUAAUGUUUGAUGUUCUAACGUGGACCCGUAAUCCGGGUUGCGGACAGUGUCUGGUGGGUAGUUUGACUGGGGCGGUCUCCUCCUAAAGAGUAACGGAGGAGCACGAAGGUUGGCUAAUCUGGUCGGACAUCAGGAGGUUAGUGCAAUGGCAUAAGCCAGCUUGACUGCGAGCGUGACGGCGCGAGCAGGUGCGAAAGCAGGUCAUAGUGAUCCGGUGGUUCUGAAUGGAAGGGCCAUCGCUCAACGGAUAAAAGGUACUCCGGGGAUAACAGGCUGAUACCGCCCAAGAGUUCAUAUCGACGGCGGUGUUUGGCACCUCGAUGUCGGCUCAUCACAUCCUGGGGCUGAAGUAGGUCCCAAGGGUAUGGCUGUUCGCCAUUUAAAGUGGUACGCGAGCUGGGUUUAGAACGUCGUGAGACAGUUCGGUCCCUAUCUGCCGUGGGCGCUGGAGAACUGAGGGGGCUGCUCCUAGUACGAGAGGACCGGAGUGGACGCAUCACUGGUGUUCGGGUUGUCAUGCCAAUGGCACUGCCCGGUAGCUAAAUGCGGAAGAGAUAAGUGCUGAAAGCAUCUAAGCACGAAACUUGCCCCGAGAUGAGUUCUCCCUGAGACUUAGAGUCUCCUGAAGGAACGUUGAAGACGACGACGUUGAUAGGCCGGGUGUGUAAGCGCAGCGAUGCGUUGAGCUAACCGGUACUAAUGAACCGUGAGGCUUAACCUUACAACGCCGAAG